rnacentral:rRNA from 1 species
AGGACGAACGCUGGCGGCGUGCUUAACACAUGCAAGUCGAGCGGAAAGGCCUUUCGGGGUACUCGAGCGGCGAACGGGUGAGUAACACGUGAGUAACCUGCCCUUCACUUUGGGAUAACCCUCGGAAACGGGGGCUAAUACCGGAUACGACACUCCACUGCAUGGUGUGGGUGUGGAAAGGUUUUCUGGUGGGGGAUGGGCUCGCGGCCUAUCAGCUUGUUGGUGGGGUGAUGGCCUACCAAGGCGACGACGGGUAGCCGGCCUGAGAGGGCGACCGGCCACACUGGGACUGAGACACGGCCCAGACUCCUACGGGAGGCAGCAGUGGGGAAUAUUGCACAAUGGGCGGAAGCCUGAUGCAGCGACGCCGCGUGAGGGAUGACGGCCUUCGGGUUGUAAACCUCUUUCAGCAGGGACGAAGCGUGAGUGACGGUACCUGCAGAGAAGCGCCGGCCAACUACGUGCCAGCAGCCGC